AGGUUGUGAAUAAAAUAAGAAACCAGUUUAAAGGCUCCUAAAAAGCCACCAGGUAUGAGGCCACUGAAAGCUAAAAAAACAACAGCAAAACGAGCAAGAAAAGGAUCAGGAAAACAAGCACCUUCCAAGCAACGUAUGAAAAAGUUCUUCGAAUCUUCAUAUUCCCUGUAUGUUGGCACAGUGCUUCUGAUGGGCUCCGUUAUAGGGGCAGCAAUGCUGACCUAUCUGUGUAAGUUCCAGUCUUCUAGGAAAAUAUAAAAGGGUAAUGGGCAGAAUUACAAUUCUCUCUUGCUUGCUUCAUUUCAGUGGAGACC